GACGAACGCUGGCGGCGUGCUUAACACAUGCAAGUCGAACGGAAAGGCCCUGCUUUUGUGGGGUGCUCGAGUGGCGAACGGGUGAGUAACACGUGAGUAACCUGCCCUUGACUUUGGGAUAACUUCAGGAAACUGGGGCUAAUACCGGAUAGGAGCUCCUGCUGCAUGGUGGGGGUUGGAAAGUUUCGGCGGUUGGGGAUGGACUCGCGGCUUAUCAGCUUGUUGGUGGGGUAGUGGCUUACCAAGGCUUUGACGGGUAGCCGGCCUGAGAGGGUGACCGGCCACAAUGGGACUGAGGUACGGCCCAGAAUCCUACGGGAGGCAGCAGUGGGGAAUAUUGCACAAUGGGCGGAAGCCUGAUGCAGCAACGCCGCGUGCGGGAUGACGGCCUUCGGGUUGUAAACCGAUUUCGCCUGUGACGAAGCGUGAGUGACGGUAAUGGGUAAAGAAGCACCGGCUAACUACGUG
rnacentral:rRNA from 1 species